rnacentral:rRNA from 1 species
GAGUUUGAUCGUGGCUCAGAACGAACGUUAGCGGCGCGCCUAACACAUGCAAGUCGAGCGAGAAAGGGAGCUCAGUUCUUCGGAACCAGAGGCCCCGGUACAGCGGCGCACGGGUGAGUAACACGUAGGUAAUCUGCCUCCGAGUGGGGGAUAACCUUCCGAAAGGAGGGCUAAUACCGCAUGAGACCACGCCUUCGAGAGGAGGAGGGGUCAAAGCCGGCCACUAUACAUAAGCUGGCGCUUGGAGAUGAGCCUGCGGCCCAUCAGCUUGUUGGUAGGGUAACGGCCUACCAAGGCAAAGACGGGUAGCUGGUCUGAGAGGAUGAUCAGCCACACUGGAACUGAGACACGGUCCAGACUCCUACGGGAGGCAGCAGUGGGGAAUCUUGCGCAAUGGGCGAAAGCCUGACGCAGCGACGCCGCGUGGGUGAUGAA